GUGUCCUACGGGAGGCAGCAGUAGGGAAUCUUCCACAAUGGGCGAAAGCCUGAUGGAGCAACGCCGCGUGGGUGAAGAAGGUCUUCGGAUCGUAAAACCCUGUUGUUAGAGAAGAAAGUGCGUGAGAGUAACUGUUCACGUUUCGACGGUAUCUAACCAGAAAGCCACGGCUAACUACGUGCCAGUAGCCGCGGUAAUACGUAGGUGGCAAGCGUUAUCCGGAUUUAUUGGGCGUAAAGGGAACGCAGGCGGUCUUUUAAUUCUGAUUGGAAAGCCUUCGGCUUAA
rnacentral:rRNA from 1 species